rnacentral:lncRNA from 1 species
ACGGCUUCCACUAGAAGUCAACAGUCUUUACAAAGUUGUUUGAAGCGUCUACGAUGAACAGAGACCGAAUGAGAAGGAGGGGAACUUGUUGAGGCAGGGGAUGACAUCACUUCUUGGCGCACGUUGAUGAGAGUGGAUCCUCCGUUCCAAAACCUUUUUCAAGACACAGGAACUGAAAUAUUACUGAAUAUUCACGUUCUGAAGGCCCUAAAGAUUGAUGUUUUACAACGUUUGACAUGUUUGAACGAACGUAAAUACAACUUUUCUUUACUUUUCAUCGCGACAUCGUCUGCGCGCUUCCUACUUUUGGAGUAGCUUACUGAACGCACGAACAACAAGGAGUUAUUUGGACAAAAAUGAUGGACUUUAUUGAACAAAACAACAUUUGUUUGAGAUUCCUGGAAGUGCCUUCUGAUGAAGAUCAUCAAAGUCUGCUGUCCCAACAUGGUUCAAGAUGGCCACCAUUGUUCCUGUACCCAAGAAGGCAAAGACGGACCACGAGGCUUCAACAGUAUCAGUGGGUUGACCUGUACUGGCACUGCCUUUCUGGUCCAUCGGAAAAGAAAGAGAGCACCUGAAGAACUGGGGAAGACACGGAGCAACAGUGGCCCAAACUGACUCCACAUACCACCCGGAACCCCCCAGUAUCCAGACCCAGCAAUGGACCAGCUGCCUGAGGAGAAGAUGACGGACUGCAAGCCUUAAGAACCAGACCGGAACCAGGAACCAUU